GUAGGCAUAGCUCAGCCGGGAGAGCACUUGCUCGACAAGCAAGUUGUCGCUGGUUCAAGUCCAGUUGUCUCCA
rnacentral:tRNA from 1 species